rnacentral:pre_miRNA from 1 species
UAGUUUUGUCCUAAGUCAAAGUUAUUUGACUUUUACCAAGUUUAUAGAAAAGUAUAUUAACAUCUGCAAUACAAAAUAAAUACAUAUCAAGAUACAUUUCAUGGUGGACUUAAUGAAACUAAUCUGAUGUCGUAGAUGUUGGUGCAUUUUUCUACAAACUUGGUCAAAGUUAAAGAACAUUAACUUAGGACAAAACUAA